AAGUCGUAACAAGGUUUCCGUAGGUGAACCUGCGGAAGGAUCAUUACCGAGUAUCGGGAUGUUGUGCUGGUUCUUACAAGUGCACGCUCCCUUCAUUCAAUUCACACCCCGUGCACCUUUGAUGAGAUCGAGGCCUUACCCCCGUUCACGUGUCCUUCGGGACUCCGGGUUGGGACGACGUCUCAUUUUUUACAUCAACACAAGUAUUCAGAAUGUCGACUUGCAGUAAUGCAGAAAAAUAUAACUUUCAACAACGGAUCUCUUGGUUCUCGCAUCGAUGAAGAACGCAGCGAAAUGCGAUAAGUAAUGUGAAUUGCAGAAUUCAGUGAAUCAUCGAAUCUUUGAACGCACCUUGCACCCUUUGGUAUUCCGAAGGGUAUGCCUGUUCGAGUGUCAUGAAACUCUCAAACCGCAUCUUUAUUGAUGUCGGGUUUGGACUUGGACGUUGCUGNNCUCACGCUCGGCUCGUCUUAAAUGCAUUAGCUGGCUCUUUCGACUUCAGUUACUCGGUGUGAUAAUACAUCUACGCCGUAGCCGCGAGGCACUGGGAUCGAUCACAGAGCGGCUCAUAACCGUCNUCGGACAAUUUUCAUCACAUCUGGCCUCGAAUCAGGUAGGACUACCCGCUGAACUUAAGCAUAUCAAUAAGCGGAGGAAAAGAAACUAACAAGGAUUCCCCUAGUNACGGCGAGUGAAGCGGGAAGAGCUCAAAUUUUAAAUCUGGCGGUCUUCGGCCGUCCGAGUUGUAAUCUAGAGAAGUGUUAUCCGUGCUGGACCGUAUAUAAGUCCCCUGGAACGGGGCGUCAUAGAGGGUGAGAAUCCCGUCUUUAAUGCGGACUGCCAGUGCUAUGUGAUGCGCUCUCAAAGAGUCGAGUUGUUUGGGAAUGCAGCUCAAAACGGGUGGUAAAUUCCAUCUAAAGCUAAAUAUUGGCGAGAGACCGAUAGCGAACAAGUACCGUGAGGGAAAGAUGAAAAGCACUUUGGAAAGAGAGUCAAACAGUACGUGAAAUUGUUGAAAGGGAAACGAUUGAAGUCAGUCGCGUCUGCCGGGAUUCAGCCUUGCUUCUGCUCGGUGCAUUUCCUGGUCUGACGGGUCAACAUCGGUUUGGCUUGGCGGAUAAAGGUUGGGGGAAUGUGGCAUCUUCGGGUGUGUUAUAGCCUCUGAUUGUAUACGCUGGGUUCAGACCGAGGAAUUCAGCAUGCCUUUAUGGUCGGGGUACGCCCACGUAACAUGCUUAGGAUGUUGGCGUAAUGGCUUUAAACGACC
rnacentral:rRNA from 1 species